rnacentral:rRNA from 1 species
UACAGAGGGUGCGAGCGUUAAUCGGAUUUACUGGGCGUAAAGCGUGCGCGGGCGGUUUUGUAAGACAGAUGUGAAAUCCCCGGGCUUAACCUGGGAACUGCGUUUGUGACUGCAAGGCUAGAGUACGGCAGAGGGGGGUGGAAUUCCGCGUGUAGCAGUGAAAUGCGUAGAUAUGCGGAGGAACACCGAUGGCGAAGGCAAUCCCCUGGGCCUGCACUGACGCUCAUGCACGAAAGCGUGGGGAGCAAACAGG